CUGGCUCAGGAUGAACGCUAGCUACAGGCUUAACACAUGCAAGUCGAGGGGCAGCAUGACGAUAGCUUGCUAUUGUCGAUGGCGACCGGCGCACGGGUGAGUAACGCGUAUCCAACCUGCCCAUUACUCAGGUAUAGCCCAGUGAAAACUGGAUUAAUCCCUGAUGUGGUCUCGUGCAGACAUCUAAGCGAGACUAAAGUUUUAACGGUAAUGGAUGGGGAUGCGUCUGAUUAGCUUGUUGGCGGGUAACGGCCACCAAGGCGACGAUCAGUAGGGGUUCUGAGAGGAAGGUCCCCCACAUUGGAACUGAGACACGGUCCAAACUCCUACGGGAGGCAGCAGUGAGGAAUAUUGGUCAAUGGACGGAAGUCUGAACCAGCCAAGUAGCGUGCAAGGAUGACGGCCCUAUGGGUUGUAAACUGCUUUUGUGCGGGAAUAAAGAAGGGGACGUGUCCUCUGUUGCAUGUACCGCACGAAUAAGGACCGGCUAAUUCCGUGCCAGCCGCUGC
rnacentral:rRNA from 1 species